rnacentral:rRNA from 1 species
UCAGCCUACGGGGCGCAGCAGGGAAUAUUGCACAAUGGGGGAAACCCUGAUGCAGCGACGCCGCGUGAGUGAAGAAGUAUCUCGGUACGUAAAGCUCUAUCAGCAGGAAAGAAAAUGACGGUACCUGACUAAGAAGCCCCGGCUAACUACGUGCCAGCAGCCGCGGUAAUACGUAGGGGGCAAGCGUUAUCCGGAUUUACUGGGUGUAAAGGGAGCGUAGACGGCGCUGCAAGUCCGGAGUGAAAGCCCAUGGCUUAACCAUGGUACUGCUCUGGAAACUGUAGAGCUUGAGUGCGGGAGGGGCA